rnacentral:lncRNA from 1 species
AGAAAUAGCGGGCGCUUCUUCUCCGAUGGCAGCGGCGGAUCGGAUCCGGUGGGCGCUGUAGGCUUGCGCAUCUCAGGAGGGUUAGGGUCAUUGUGGGUUUAGCCAGUUAACCUCCCUACAUCAGUGUCAUGUUAGUUUUAGAAUUUAUUUUAAAAUUGUAUUGAUCUCCGGGGACAGAUUGUUCAGGAGCAAAAUGACUUAUAUUAAAUGAUAUAUUAAAGCUCAUCCGGUUUGGAGUUUACAGCAAAUUCAACUUUUUCAUGUAAGGUUAAAAAAAUGAUCACCCCUACCGUAACCCAACUAAAUCUUGUUCUCAUGUUUUUAAAUGUAUUCUUUGAUGAUGUGUCUCAGUGAUUUGUUUGUCUUUGUGUUUGUUCCAAUGUCUCUUUAGUGUACUGUGUUGUCAAAUGAAACUGAAAUGCUGAGUUGGAAGAUGUAAUAGAAUUUAAUCGCCAGAUCUGUAACAGCACACAGGUCUAGAGAAAGCUGUGAAGAAGUAGGUGAAUUUAUGGUCACUGGAAGCUGAAUUACAGUAGCUACUAUUAAACAUUUCGAAAUCAUUAAUACUUAUCUAACAUAAGGCUUAAAAUACAUUAAAUUCAUGUAUAAAAACAUUUUGUGUGUAUUUGCAGUGUGUGUGUUCUUAUUAAAUGCAGUUAAAGCCAAGCAUGAGGCUGAUUUUGACUGAUUUUGAUUUUUGACUUUUCUGCAGCAUCAAUAAAUCUGUGACUGCAUCUCCAGAGUCUUGAUGUCAGGAGAGAGUUUCGUUGUGGUCAAGAUAACAUCAGCAGAUAUGCAGACAACAGAACAACAGCAGAACACAUGCAUUUUUACAGCUACAAAGUUGUGUAAGUUACAUUGUGAUAACAUAUGUCUUUAUAUAUACACUACAGGCCAAAAGUUUGGAAGCAAGAUCAGAUUUGUACAAAAAAACAUCAUAGUUUCAUAUAUACAAUUUGCAACACAAUAAACAUGACUAUUGUGUAAAGAGUAACUUAGCAGAAGACAUUUUGACUAUAAUUAUUAGGUAUUUGAGUUAUUGUUGCUUAGAAUUUGCUUUCUUUAAAGUAAACUCCUCUGGCUUUAACAACAGCUUGGCAUAUACCAGGCAUUCGUUCCACAAGUUUUUUAAGGUAUGUUCCAGGGAUUGCAUUCCAAGCUUUCUUAAGUUUAUUAAAAAGAGACUGCUGAUUUGUGGGACACGUUUUUCUGACCGAUCGAUCCAAUUCAUCCCGCACAAGCUCAAUUGGAGAAAGGUCUGGAGACUGAGGGGGCCAAACCAUCUUUUGAAGAAAACCUUCCUUUUCUUUUUUGUCUAGGUAACCCUGACAGAGCUUGGCAGAGUGCUUAGGGUCCUUGUCUUGCUGCAAAACAAACUUAUGAGCCACAAGUCUGAGUCCAGAUGGAACAGCAUGGUGCUGGAGGAUGGAGUGGUACUGUUCCUUCUUCAUGAUACCCUUUACUUCAAACAAAUCUCCUACUCAAUCACCUGCAAAACAUCCCCAUACCAUGGAACUACCACCUCCAUGCUGAAUUGUGGGUGUAACACAUGGUGCUUUCAGACGUUAACCAGUUUGUCUGCGGACAUAGACUCUGCGUUUUGAACCAAACAGUCACAAAUGUGUUUCUAGUCAUCAUAAGUCCAAUUUUUGUGAGCUUUUGCCCACUCACAUCUCUUUUUCUUGUUCUGUGGAUGAAGUAGUGUUUUUUUGCAGAUACACAACCCUUCAGACCAGCCUUUCUCAAACGUCAUUCACGGUUGUCAGAGAUAUGGGUUUCGACCUUGUCAUGUUGAUUUCUUCCCUUAUUAUUUGUGGUGCUGUCUUUCACCAAUCUCUCUUACUGGUGACAAGGAUAUGUUUAUCCUCUGCUUUUGUAGUAACUCUCUUUCGUCCAGGUCUUUUUCUAUCAUCAUAACUUCCAGGUUCCUCUAGUCUCUUCAGAGUGUAGUGGACUCCUUUGUUAAACACCUUCAGGCAUUUUGCAAUUUCUCUUUCUGUGUAUCCUUCUUUCCUCAAUGUACAAAUCUGUACUUUUGUUUCUUUACUCAGUUGCUUCUUUCUUGCCAUUUUUGUGGUAGUUUGAAUGCAGUUGAGAUUUAUUAGGAUUUUUGUAUGCAGACUCUUAAAAGCCAAAAAGUUGAAGUGAAUAAUCCAACUGUGAUUUGUUUUUUGUUUUUUUUUUGCUUUUGCACUGAAGUUGUGACUCUUGCAAAUGUUUUCAACCCUAAAACUAAGCCCUUAUUAUCUUUUGCUUACAUAUAUUUAGCAAUGGUCUGUUAACAUCAAUGUAUAUCUAAAGUUAAUGGAGUAAAAUGGUGCAUUUCCAUAAAAGCAACAUCUGAUCAUGGAGUAAAUACAUUCCAAAAUACAUAAAACUCAUGCUGGAUUUUAAAAAAAGCAUUGUGAACAAAAACUUACUCCCAGAGGUUCGGCCUGUAAUGGCCUUGCUUCCAAACUUUUGGCCUGUAGUGUAAAUGAUUUAUCAAUAUUGCAUAAUGAGUACCUCAUACAUGUCAGCACCUAGAUAUGUGUGGGAGUACCCUUAGAUGUUUUUAAACUUUGUUCCUCACUAUGAACAGAUCCGAGAUAAGAGAACUUUAGUGGAUGUGCAAAUCAUCUUGAAAACUGUGUCAGUGGGUUUAAAAAUUUCAUCACAAACAUCUGAGAUCCUGUGUCUGCUUAAAAAAAAUAUAUGUAUAUAAUCUUCAUAGACA